CCGUCUACGAUCAGCUAGAAAUUUAAGGUCAAGAACCUUUAAGACUAGAGUGUAAUCGUGUUUGGGACAUUGAAUGCCUAAAAUAAAAUUUAAGUUCUUUAAAAAUUUAUGUUGGACUCUUUCAAUCUGCAAAGAACCAUUUGUAGUAUGUGAGUUCCAAAUUAGUGAACCGUAUUCCAAAAUGGGUAUCACAAAUGCACAAUAUAAAGUUUUGACCGUGUAUUUUAGAAAAAUUCCUUAAGUCAGUUUCAUUACGAACCCUAGAGUUUUCAACCACUU